CCCGUCCACAGGUUGGUACGCGUGAUGCGUCACUAGACGCGAGUAAGAUCGAGGCUUCCGCGAGACGCGAGUGAACCCCAAACGGUUAACGAGACAAACUAGUCACGCAGGACACACAGCGCGGUGCUCCUGCCUCGAGUCUCAUUCGUAGGUGACUGUCGGCCGUACGUAAACACGGCCGCCGCGACGCAAUGCGCGAAUCGCUCUGCCUAGCUCCGUCGCGCGACCUUAACCUUCAACGAGCCCGCGUGCGUCUCGAAAGUUUCGUCCAUAAAGUUAUCGUCAUACAUUUGUCUCUCGUGAACUACCGCAGCGUCCGCAGCGCGUGUACCAAACGUUGGCAAUAAUCGUGAGUAUAUGCGAGGCUACGUGCGUGGUCUCCGCGUUUCGCGUCGUUCCAAGUAUGUCGCGAGUGUGGCGUAAGGAAAUCGCAUCGUACUACAUUGACGAGAAGGUUUUAGACGGCGCUCGGAGGAGACUGUCCCCUCCGCCUCACCCUCUUUCCCUGCUACUGGGCGCAAGUUCUGAAGUGAUGCGCAGUAACGAACGAGCGUCAGAUUGCGAUUGUCUACGUUAAGAAGAAAGUCUGUAUAUCCAGUAAUUAAUUGGUCGCAUCUUUUUCGACGCGUACGAGUAUCCGAAAAAAUGGAGAGAAUAACGGCAAGACGAGAAGUAACGGACCGACCGCAAGCAUCAGAGGUUGCAGGGUGGCUGGGUGAUUAUUGCGUCGCAUUAUUUCAACUCGUAUCCGGGAGUGAAUGAACGUCCGAAACAAUGGAGCAGCCGGCGACGUGGCAAUGACGGUGCGUCGAGCGUGUUGUGUGAGUGUCACGAAGGGGUCACGGAGGAGCUGAGAGGAGGAGGAGCGGCCCGGGGAGGCGUCGGGCAACGGCGGAGCAACCGUGAGAUCAACGUAGUUGUUUGUAACUCCGCUGCUGCGCAUCGUAUCUGUGAGUAAUAAAUCAUAUUUUAUUUUAAUUCGAGAUAAUGGAUCUGUGAAAACUAUAUUAGAUAUACAUAAGGUAUACGUAAAUGUAUUUACGUAUCAAAUUAAAAGCAUAAACAUGUUAUAAAUAAAUAUAUCAUUUCACAGAUCCAUUAAAAUGACUUAAAAUGAAUGGGCUGAAAAAGAUUUGUUUCGAUAUUUAAUUCUGAAACCAUCCAUCGAUUUAUUAUGCAUGAGAAUACAUAAAUACGCGCAUAUACACAUGAACAAAGCUCGCGGAAAAUUAUUGCAAAAUUAAUUUUGCUUGUCGUUUAUACAACAGUGUGUGGAAUAUUUUAUAACGUUCCAUGCUGAAAAGAAAAAAAAUAUAUAAGGUACCUAAGCUAAAUAAGGUCCAACACUAUAUAAAGUCCAUUUUUAUAAUUUACUAUUUAAAAACGCACAAAUAAAUUGAAAUCUUUAACAAUUUUUUUGUAAUCUAAAAAAUAUA